rnacentral:SRP_RNA from 1 species
ACAGGAGCUUCGGCCGGGAGGCUACCAGUCUUCUACAGCGCAAAUCUGGUUCAUGGCGCGGCGACAGCUUCGGAAGGUAUGGUAUCGUGAGUUAGUCCAGUUGUUUGACUGAGAAGUUUCGUCUCUCAGGGUGGUAUGUAUAGCGAAAUCGGACAGGCUGGGAACAGAACAUCCGUAAGCUAUAUGUAUUAUGCUUGGGAACAACGGAAUGGAGAAGAACAUCUGGGAAGAACUAGCCUACGGUGCUGUAUCGACUGAGGCGCGCUCCUGU